UGACCGUGCAAAGGUAGCAUAAUCAUUAGUUUUUUAAUUGAAAACUGGUAUGAAUGGUUAGACGAAAAAAACACUGUCUUUUUUUUAAAAAUUGAACCCUACCUUAUUUUGACCGUGCAAAGGUUUUUUUAAGGGACGAUAAGACCCUAUAAAGCUUUAUAAAUUAAUGGGUGUUUUGUUGAAAUUGUUAUUAAAUAGUGAAAACUUGUUGUUUAUUUUAUUGGGGCGAUAAAAAUAUAAUUAAUUUUAACUAUUAAAAGUUAACACACUAAAUAGGUGAAUUGCCUUAAAAGAUCCUUUGUGUGGAUUAUAAGAACAAGUUACUUUAGGGAUAACAGCGUUAUUUCUUUUAAGAGUUCAUAUCAAAAGUAAAGUCUGCGACCUCGAUGUUGAAUUAAAAUUUCUAAGUAGUGCAGCAGCUACUAAAGAGGGUCUGUUCGACCUUUAAAAAA
rnacentral:rRNA from 1 species